UUGCACUUUUCAUUGUCCUGUUCUUCACCUGUAAGAACUGUGAUAUUUCUGAUGUGCUAAAUCAGUGCUGGAGGUAAAUUAGCAGUCUGGAUUAUUUGUGCCAGUGCUGCCAGUCCCCUUCAUACAGUU
ensembl:snoRNA Small nucleolar RNA SNORA19